AACGAACGCUGGCGGCAUGCCUAACACAUGCAAGUCGUACGAGACCUUCGGGUCUAGUGGCGCACGGGUGCGUAACGCGUGGGAACCUGCCUUUAGGUUCGGAAUAACUCAGAGAAAUUUGAGCUAAUACCGGAUGAUGUCUUCGGACCAAAGAUUUAUCGCCUUUAGAUGGGCCCGCGUUGGAUUAGCUAGUUGGUGGGGUAAAGGCCUACCAAGGCGACGAUCCAUAGCUGGUCUGAGAGGAUGAUCAGCCACACUGGGACUGAGACACGGCCCAGACUCCUACGGGAGGCAGCAGUGGGGAAUAUUGGACAAUGGGCGAAAGCCUGAUCCAGCAAUGCCGCGUGAGUGAUGAAGGCCUUAGGGUUGUAAAGCUCUUUUACCCGAGAUGAUAAUGACAGUAUCGGGAGAAUAAGCUCCGGCUAACUCCGUG
rnacentral:rRNA from 1 species